UACAGAGGUCCCAAGCGUUGUUCGGAUUCACUGGGCGUAAAGGGUGCGUAGGUGGCGGGGUAAGUCUGAUGUGAAAUCUCCGAGCUUAACUCGGAAACUGCAUCGGAUACUGCCUUGCUCGAGGGUUGGAGGGGGGACUGGAAUACUUGGUGUAGCAGUGAAAUGCGUAGAUAUCAAGUGGAACACCAAUGGCGAAGGCAGCUCGCUGGGACGGUACUGACGCUGAGGCGCGAAAGCGUGGGGAGCAAACAGG
rnacentral:rRNA from 1 species